rnacentral:rRNA from 1 species
UACGGGGGGGGCAAGCGUUGUUCGGAAUUACUGGGCGUAAAGGGCUCGUAGGCGGCCAACUAAGUCAGACGUGAAAUCCCUCGGCUUAACCGGGGAACUGCGUCUGAUACUGGAUGGCUUGAGUGUGGGAGGGGGAUGCGGAAUUCCAGGUGUAGCGGUGGAAUGCGUAGAUAUCUGGAGGAACACCGGUGGCGAAGGCGGCAUCCUGGACCAUUACUGACGCUGAGGAGCGAAAGCCAGGGGAGCAAACGGG